GACGUAGGGCGCGAGCGUGUCCGGAUUUAUUGGGCGCAAAGAGCUCGUAGGCGGCUUGUCGCGUCGACUGUGAAAUCCCGCGGCUCAACCGCGGGUCUGCAGUCGAUACGGGCAGGCUAGAGUUCGGUAGGGGAGACUGGAAUUCCUGGUGUAGCGGUGAAAUGCGCAGAUAUCAGGAGGAACACCGAUGGCGAAGGCAGGUCUCUGGGCCGAUACUGACGCUGAGGAGCGAAAGCGUGGGGAGCGAACAGG
rnacentral:rRNA from 1 species